ACACUUACCUGGCAGGGGAGAUACUGUGAUCACAGUGGUGGUUUUCCCAGGGCCAGGCUCACCCACUGCACUCCGGCUGUGCUGACCCCUACGAUUUCCCCAAGUGGGGGAAACUCAACUGCAUAACUUGUUGUGGGGGACUGUGUUCAUGCUCUCCCCUG